rnacentral:rRNA from 1 species
GAUGAACGCUGGCGGCGUGCCUAAUACAUGCAAGUCGAGCGAACAGACGAGGAGUUUGCUCCUCUGACGUUAGCGGCGGACGGGAGAGUAACACGGGGAUAACCUACCUAUAAGACUGGGAUAACUUCGGGGAACCGGAUCUACUACCGGAUAAUAUAUUGAACCGCAUUGUUCAAUAGUGAAAUACGGUUUUGCUGUCACUUAUAGAUUGAUACGCGCCGCAUUAGCUAGUGGGUAAGGUAACGGCUUACCAAGGCAACGAUGCGUAACCGCCCUGAGAGGGUGAUCCGCCACCCGGGAACAGAGAAACGGUCGACACACCUACAGGGGGCAGCGGCAGAGAAUCCUCCGCAAUGGGCGAGAGCCUGACGGAGCAAAGCCGCGUGAGUGAUGAAGCUCUUCGGCUCGUAAAACUAUGUUAUUAGGAAAGAACAAAUGUGUAAGUACCCAUGCACGUCUUGACGGUACCUAAUCAGAAAGCCACGGCUAACUCCGUG